GACGAACGCUGGCGGCGUGCCUAAUACAUGCAAGUAGAACGCUGAAGGAGGAGCUUGCUCUUCUGGAUGAGUUGCGAACGGGUGAGUAACGCGUAGGUAACCUGCCUGGUAGCGGGGGAUAACUAUUGGAAACGAUAGCUAAUACCGCAUAACAGUAGAUGUUGCAUGACAUUUGCUUAAAAGGUGCAAUUGCACCACUACCAGAUGGACCUGCGUUGUAUUAGCUAGUUGGUGGGGUAACGGCUCACCAAGGCGACGAUACAUAGCCGACCUGAGAGGGUGGUCGGCCACACUGGGACUGAGACACGGCCCAGACUCCUACGGGAGGCAGCAGGAGGGAAUCUUCGGCAAUGGACGGAAGUCUGACCGAGCAACGCCGCGUGAGUGAAGAAGGUUGUCGGAUCGUAAAGCUCUGUUGUAAGAGAAGAACGAGUGUGAGAGUGGAAAGUUCACACUGUGACGGUAUCUUACCAGAAAGGGACGGCUAACUACGUG
rnacentral:rRNA from 1 species